CUAUUGCUCUGCUUCCUCCUCCCCUGAGGAAUCCCUUGCAGAGCGCUGUCCAGAACGCGCGGUCCGGCCCGCCGGUCUCCGCCGCCGUCCGCCGCGCCUCCUCGCCGACGCUCCUCUGGAUGUCGUUCUGGUCCGUGAGGCGGUCGAUGAGGUUGUGCAGGAUGUCGACGGUGUACUCCGGGUGCCCCUGGAUGCCCAGCGCGUGCUCCCCCACCGCGAACGCCUCCACUCGCGUCUUCUCCGAGUACGCCAGCACCCUCGCCGUCGGCGGGAUCUCCCACACCUGCGUGAUCACCAUCGAUCCAUACACGUCACGCCAUGUCGUCGCCAUGUAUGAGAUAGAGUACCACUGGAUCGGAGGAGUAUCAUCGACGCACCUCGUCUUGGUGAACCUCGAUGAUGGAGGCGCUCCGGGGAAGUUCGUCGUCGUCGAGGAAUGGCGGCGGCAAAAGUCCGGCCAGGUCGUCGUGGCCCUGGACGAAGGUGACCUUCCUGACGCCGACGUCCCAUCCACUGCGCGCCCUGCGCACCGUCCCGCCCAGCGCGCGGCACAGCACCUGGUGGCCGAAGCAGACGCCGAGGACGCGCUUCCGCAUGGCGUGGAGCGUCCGCAGCAGCGCGCAGAGGCGCCGGACCCAGGGCUCGUCGCCGUGCGCGUCCCGCGGGCUCCCGCUCACCACGAACCCGUCGUACGACGCCAGGUCCUCCGCCGCCGGGAACUCGCCGCCGAUCACGCGGAAGCAGUCCCACCUCUCCCCGCCUCCGCCGUCGCCGCCGAGGGCGGACACGAAGACGUUGUGGUACCCGCCGUACGCCUUCCUGGCGUAGUCCGAGUCCCACAGCGCCAGCAGCAGCGCGUACCGCCGCGCCGCUGGCUUCGCCGCCGUCAUCGCCGGAGCGGAGAGCGCGCGCACGGGGACUGGAGCGGAGAGGCCGGGACCCGGGAGCGACACUGUGACAGCCACCUAGCUUUGCUUGCGAGCUCGAUGGAUGGAUCGAUCGCGAUGCGGAGGCGGCGAAUUCCGGCUCCCCCUCUAUAUUUAUGGAGCCGUUGGGUCGGGGUGCGCGUAGCGCCGUAGCGCGUAGGAGGCGGUCUCGGGUCACAGUCUCUUGUGAAACACGUGGCUUUUAAUAUAUAAUUAACUAAUCGAGUGGACGAGAUCGAUCGGCCGGUAGCAUGCAAUGCAUGGCUUGCUAGAGGAGUGGGAGUGGCCAGGGUCCCACAAACGCUGGCCGCGUGGAGUGAAUCGAUUAACCUCCCAAAUAAUUAUGCAUGCAUGGCUUGCUAGAGGAGGGAGCUGGGGGCCUUGUUCAGCUUGACAGUAGGGCCGUGGCAAUCAAUUGAUGAGUCACAUGAAAAAGAGACCAGUGAAAACGAACUUGUUGGUCAGUUGCAUUGGCACUUGACACGCGCUUGGCAAUAGCCCUGUCUAAGUGUUGAUCAUAUAGUUGCUAAAAUCAUGAUUCAGUAGGGUGCUUUGAAGAUCUUAGUUUACUCGAUUAAUUCUAUGAUUCUGUUAAGCAGAAUCUACCAUUUUACGAUUAUAGUAGCUAUGGUUGUGCUUGCUGCAGCUACUGUCCUAACUGUUUCUCUGUUGCUGCUACAAUAGCUUGUGAGAGUAAGUUUUUCAAGCUCUUGUAGCAGCCAGAGUUCGAAAAUUCGAUUUUCAUUGAUUUAAUUUGGGUCAUGCAUACUAGUGACUUAUGAUAAAUUUACAUACCAAUGAUUUUGGUUCCUUUUUUUUGAGUUUUUUUCAAGUUUUAUCCAAAACUUUACAAAUAUUUUCUUAAACCGUCAAACUCCACAAAUAUUUAAAAAAAAACAACCAAAAUUUCGUUGAUUUUCGGUCCUAUUGUCCCCUUCCGAUAUUUGUGUCCCAACUAGCAGGCUGGAACUAGCUAGCGAACAACAAUCUCAGCGAUCACAUUGUAUGAUCCUACGAUUUAUGAUGUUAUCAUUGUUUUUUUAAUAAUGGAACAAAGUCGAUGUUAUCAUUGUUUUUUUGUAUGAUCUUAUUUGUCUUAUUUAAAAAUUUGUAUAAAUAUAGUUAAAUUUAAGUUAUUUUUGAAGAACUUUUAUUAAUAAAUCAAGCCACGACAAAAUAAGUGAUAUUUUGCAUACAUUUUUGAAUAAAACGAGUGGUUAAACUUGGGGUCUGUUUGAUUUCCCUUGCUAAAUUUUAGCCAACUAAACUUUAGUCACUUUAGUAGUUAAAGUUCCAAACACACUAAUUAAAAAAAGAACUAAAAUAGUUUAGUCUCACUAGUCAUCCAAGAGUAGCUAAAAUAACCAAACAGGGCCUUGGUGUUAAAAAAGUCAAAUGUUUUGUAAUUUGGGAUAGGUUGAGUGUAAAUUUUAUUUCAAUACCGAUUUGAAUCCAGUCAAAGCUCAUCCAGACACACUUCUUUAAGGUUUAUUUUAAUGUUGAAUUUCAACUAUCAUGUUGAAUGCUGAUGUCUUUAUCCUACUGAUCAUAGUUCUACAAAAUAACUACCUAUAGAUUAAUCGCCAUUUUAUUGUCUUCUUUUCAUCAUACGGGGGCUGGUCUAGCAAAAGCUGUAGCACAGUAGUAUCAAUUUAGACCUCACGUGCUUAAUGCUACCCGUUAUCCUACAUGAAGUAAUUUCGGUAUCCAUUGAUUUGCCAUUUUCUAAUUCACCUUUGGUUCAUACAGUUCCCCUGCUUAUUGAACUUCUCUGAACAUCAUUUUUUUUCAUGUUUCUUCAGAGACAUUGAUUCUUAAUUUGCAGGGUAACUAAAGCAUGCUGUCUAGCUUGGAGCAUGUGGUUUUAGAUGGGAAUCUUGUUAGCAUUUUCCGUGAUGAUUAUAGUUCCUUGUAGUCAACUCUAGAUUAAGAAGUUGAGACUAAAUAAAACUUAGUUCAGCUGACCUGCUAUUCUUUUUAAUGUUUUAGGACUAAGAAACCGCAUUCUAUGUUGCUUUAGGCUCUCAAGAUCCAUGUGUAGAUACAGAGUUACAAUUCUCCUUCCAAAAGUGUAUGAUCCUAUCAGUUUCCCGUUCAACAAACACAAAAACAUCAGUUUCCCAUUUAAUUUCUAUGUCUAUACAAUACAACUAUAUAGUAUACUCCACAAACAAGAUGCUGUUUUGACAUAAACUCUGGUGACAUUCAGACGGAGAGAUCAUAGAUAUAGAAGUGAAUUUGCAAUAACUAAAGAUUUUUUUAGCGAUCGUGCUUGUGCACGUUUUUCAUUAAGAAGACUGGAACAGAGUUAGAGCAACUCCAAGAGAAGAGCUAUCCAUGUUAUGUAUUCUAUAUUUGGCUAUUUUAGAAGAGAAAAGAGAGUCCAACAGCUAUUGUAUUUGGUUUGCUAAAAUAGCAAGUCAUCUAUUCCGGAGUUCUCGCAUGGUAAAUAUAGCUUGCAUGUCCCGCUAGCCAUAUGAUUUGCCAUAUAGAAAGACUGUUGGAGAUUUUUGUUUUUUUACAUGAUUUUCUAUUUUAGAGGUUGGCUAAAUUUUGAAUUUAGCCAUCCAUUUUUACCAACUCUCUUGGAGUUGCUCUUACAGAGUUAAAAACCCCACGGUAACCCAGGUUCCAACGCUGAGAAAAUAGCAAACUGGAAAACAACUGAGGCCUUGUUUACAUGCAAAAAGUUUUGGGAUUUUGACACUGUAGCACUUUUGUUUUUAUUUGACAAAUAUUAUCCAAUGAUGGAGUAACUAGGCUUAAAAAAUUCGUCUCGUGAUUUACAGAUAAACUGUGCAAUUAGUUAUUUUUUUAUCUAUAUUUAAUGAUUCAUACAUGUGCCGCAAGAUUUGAUGUGACGAGAAAUCUUGUAAAGUUUUGGAUUUUUGGGUGUAUCUAAACAAGGCCCUGAGAAAGUCUAGCAGAUGCGAAUAGACAGCAACCGAUUGCGACAGCCCGUAGAUUCAGUCAGACGCAAGAGUCACCAGCGAGCUCAGGUGCUUGUACCCUGCGACGCACCACUCAUCAAUUUCCUGACGCACAAUAACUGAAGAUUUGAGUAAAGAAAAAAUGUACUCUAUUUUAAAUUAUAAGACAUUUAAAAAAAUCUUGUAGAGUCAAACACCUUAAGUUUGACCAAAAUUAUAAAGAAAAUUAAAAAAAUUUAUGACAUCAACUACGUAUACUAUAAAAAUAUAGUUAAUAAAGAAUCUAAUAAUAUUUAUUUGACGUCAUAAAUGUUAUUAUUUUAUCAUAUAUGUUUAGUCAAACUUAAGAUGAUUUGAUUCUUUAAAAUUUUUGAAAUAACUUAAAAUUUGGAACGGGAAGAGUAGUAACGAAGUUAUAAGCGCACAAAUGGGUGAGCAAACAAUUAGGUAGUUUGUAUAGUUAGUAUAUAUAAGUAUACAUCACCAAUAAUGAGAGUACAUUUUUUUGUCAACAGGAAAUCGAACUGCACUACAGUGUGCAAUCCUGCAGCAAAUAGCUACUAACGAAUUUCUGCCUACGUGCGCCCAGCCCUAGCCAAACUAGUUGCUGCGAGCCAACUGGAUCAUUGCAGCUGCGCCUGCGCUGGUGAAGCCGCAGCCAGCGACGGCGCAGCUGGUCACCUCCGGCGCCGCCGUCGUCUCCCGCAUCGCCGGCAGAGCAGGCUGCGUACGAUCUCCUCCGCCCCGGAGAAAACCCUUGCAGAGCGCCGUCCAGAACGCGCGGUCCGGCCCGCCGGUCUCCGCGACCGUCCGCCGUGCCUCCUCGCCGACGCUCCUCCGGAUGGCCUUCUGGCCGGUGAGGCGGUCGAUGAGGUUGUGGAGGAUGUCGACGGUGUACUCCGGGUGUCCCUGGAUGCCCAGCGCGUGCUCCCCGACCGCGAACACCUCCACGCGCGUCUUCUCCGAGUAGGCCAGCACCGUCGCCGCCGGCGGGAUCUCCCACACCUCGUCCUGGUGAACC
rnacentral:lncRNA from 1 species